rnacentral:rRNA from 1 species
AUCAGGUAGGGAUACCCGCUGAACUUAAGCAUAUCAAUAAGCGGAGGAAAAGAAACCAACCGGGAUUGCCCUAGUAACGGCGAGUGAAGCGGCAAGAGCUCAAAUUUGAAAGCUGGCCCCCUCGGGGUCCGCAUUGUAAUUUGCAGAGGAUGCUUCGGGAGCGGUCCCCAUCUAAGUGCCCUGGAACGGGCCGUCAUAGAGGGUGAGAAUCCCGUAUGGGAUGGGGUGCCCGCGCCCGUGUGAAGCUCCUUCGACGAGUCGAGUUGUUUGGGAAUGCAGCUCUAAUUGGGUGGUAAAUUUCAUCUAAAGCUAAAUAUUGGCCGGAGACCGAUAGCGCACAAGUAGAGUGAUCGAAAGAUGAAAAGCACUUUGAAAAGAGAGUUAAACAGCACGUGAAAUUGUUGAAAGGGAAGCGCUUGCGAUCAGACUCGCUCGCGGGGUUCAGCCGGCCUUCGGGCCGGUGUACUUCCCCGCGGGCGGGCCAGCGUCGGUUUGGGCGGCCGGUCAAAGGCCCCUGGAAUGUAACGCCUCUCGGGGCGUCUUAUAGCCAGGGGUGCCAUGCGGCCUGCCCGGACCGAGGAACGCGCUUCGGCUCGGACGCUGGCAUAAUGGUCGUAAGCGACC